UGUGUAGGAAAAUCAAACCUUCAGGUAUCUCCUGCAAUCCUUUGGACCAAAGGGCAGUAAUUUCCUAGGGUUGAAGUUCAGUCUUUCAUAUUUGUCAACUUCAGUGAGCAAACCACUGAAGUCCACUAUCUGUAUAAGUAGGGAAAAUGGAAGUACUUGUGUUCAGGGAAUGCAAGAUAACUGCAAAGUGACAAAGAUUCCUCAAUUCUGCAAUACAAGCUGUAUUUAAAAUGGAUCGUUUGGUUCAUGCCAUUCAGCUUCCUGGAGAGCUCAGGACAAAGCAGGUAAGCAGACAGGAGAAAAGACAGGAAAAUGGUGCACUUCUCUGUCCAAAUUCUCCUGAAAUGGCAAUGCCAUGAUCUUAGAGAUCAGGCAGCUGAGCUGGAGUCACAGGAAUAAGCCUGAAUGAGCUGAAGUCAAUAGCAUAAGCCUUCACUGGAUAAAAUGAAACAAGGUUUGGAUGAGACAAUUGGAAAUACUGAGAAAAGGAGUUGCAGAACUGUGUUGUUGUAAGGUAUUACAACUAUUAAGAGAAUGGAUGGAGAAAUGGAAAAUUAAAAGAAACCAUGUGAAGGGUGAGAGAGUCACCUGGAUUUGCCCACGAGAGACUUCAUGUCCAUGACAGCUCCAAGGGCCUGUACCUGUGGGCUCCUACGUGUCUGUUGCUUGCCUUCUUUGGGGGAAAUGUUAAAAACUUUGAAACCCUGAAGUAAUCUGACCAAUCUUCCCCUGAAGAUGGAGGUCCCAGAGGCUCACUGGAUCAUUUUUGUUUUCUCCUCCAGUUCCCCCUACUGCAAACAAUGAAUGCUGACUCCUCAAUCUCCAAGAGUCAGGCGCUCCAGAUGUUGAGGACAAUGCAUGAGAACCUGAUUGCUUAGCAGCCCCUUCAUAGUCCCAUCCUUGUGGGGAAGGAAGGGUUUGCAGCUGGAAAAUAAUUCUGGCGAGUCAUUAUCAUGUCCAGAUUACUUGGAUAUUCUUCCUGGUCUUUGACUUGUUUAUUCAGACUUUUAAUUAAAACCAUUCAACUGUGUAAUGGACUCAGGCAACCCAGUUUUGCAUUAAGGGGUAGUUAUUCAAGACUGUGCUGUAAGUCCAGUCGUGUCUGAGUGGACUCACAUGGCCACUCUUAAGGAGCCUUGUUCUAUUCCAUGAGAGCUCUCAUGGCUAGUAUAAUGAAUCAUGCUGUUUAUUUCAGCAACAGAUCACAGAUUCGUUUGGAUCACCUGUGAUAAUUACAGUGUCAGCAGCACAUGUGCAGGAACCAAGAAUGUGAAAGGAAAAAAAAAAAGGGAAUAACUCUAUAGGGAUUUCUAAGUUUCAUGGGGAAGUACUCUGUACAGCCAAGUGCUGUCUCACCCGAGAUGUGUCCCUAAAGGGGAGAAAGGGAAGAUUCUGCAGCCAGCAAUGUCCUCCUAAGUUGUCUACAAUGGUAUUUUGUCUGAAUUCCUCCUCUUCUAGGACAUUUUAAUAGGAUUUUUUUCCCUUUCAUGUAGGCUUGUUUAGCAAAAAAGAAAACCAACCAAACUACACACAUUAGUUUAAGAACAGAUAGAUUAGUUUACCAAAAGGACUUCAUGUGUGCUUGUUCUAAGAUUUUCCAGUUUAGCGUUGCUUGGUAUGUGAACAGCCUUGUUUUGCGUGAUCCUUGCUUCACUGAAGCCACAACGACCACUUUUUAUCUAUCCCAAUAGUAUGCACUGGGAGCUCCCUUGUAUCCACCGGGUGUUUCAUAUAAAUUGUUUUGAGUUAUGGUGUAGCAAGAUAAAAAGUUGUUCAUUAUGGCGCAACAAACAGGAAAUUUGCCAAAUGGGGGAAAAAAGCUGAAGGUAGUCCAAAAGUCACUGUGAAGAAUCUAAAGCUGAAAUAAGGAAGUAGGUGCUCAUACAGAUGCACCACGUAUGCCCAAAGAGACACCAGCAUACAUUAAAAAGCUCUUGAAAAAAUAAUGAAUAUGUACAUCAUUUCUGGUAAAAAUGUUGCAUGUGUAUGUCUUUACUGCUUAAAAGUUGAACCUGAACUCCAAGGGUUUCAAGCAUGCUUUAUCUGCCAAGUUGCCUGGUAUGUGUCCUGAAUUAAAAGGAAUGCCUGCUUUUUGACACCA